rnacentral:rRNA from 1 species
UACGAAGGGGGCUAGCGUUGUUCGGAAUUACUUGGCGUAAAGCGCGCGCAGGCGGCUAUCCAAGUCAGUGGUGAAAGCCCGGAGCUCAACUCCGAAACUGCCAUUGAAACUGUUUAGCUUGAGGACGAGAGAGGUGAGUGGAAUUCCCAGUGUAGAGGUGAAAUUCGUAGAUAUUGGGAAGAACACCGGUGGCGAAGGCGGCUCACUGGCUCGUUUCUGACGCUCAGGCGCGAUAGCGUGGGGAUCAAACAGG